rnacentral:misc_RNA from 1 species
GUGAAGAACGUAGCAAAAUGCGAUAAGUAAUGUGAAUUGCAGAAUUCAGUGAAUCAUCGAAUCUUUGAACGCACAUUGCGCCCGCCAGUAUUCUGGCGGGCAUGCCUGUUCGAGCGUCAUUUCAACCCUCAAGCCCUCGGGUUUGGUGUUGGGGAUCGGCGAGCCUUUCUGGCAAGCCGGCCCCGAAAUCUAGUGGCGGUCUCGCUGCAGCCUCCAUUGCGUAGUAGUAAAACCCUCGCAACUGGAACGCGGCGCGGCCAAGCCGUUAAACCCCCAACUUCUGAAUGUUGACCUCGGAUCAGGUAGGAAUACCCGCUGAACUUAAGCAUAUCAAUAAGCGGAGG